rnacentral:misc_RNA from 1 species
GACGGACCGGGCGAACGUUACUCGGAAUCACUGGGCUUAAAGGGUGUGCAGGCGGCUGGCCCAGUCGAGUGUGAAAGGCUCCGGCUCAACCGGAGAGCGACGCUCGAAACUGGUCAGCUUGAGGCAGAUAGGGGUGUGCGGAACGUCCGGAGGAGCGGUGAAAUGCGUUGAUAUCGGACGGAACGCCGGUGGCGAAAGCGGCACACUGGGUCUGCCCUGACGCUGAGGCACGAAAGCCAGGGGAGCAAACCGG